GCAGAAUUCAGUGAAUCAUCGAAUCUUUGAACGCAAAUGGCGCUCUUGGGUUCUCCCAGGAGCAUGUCUGUCUGAGUGUCUUUUUCGUUGAAUGACAUUCGCACGAUGUGGCCGUGUUAUGCACUGGCGUUUCGUGCGGCGUUGAGGUUCGCGGCCUUGCUAUUCUUAGGCCGCGUGCCUUUAAAUGGAGGAGGAAGAUGGGCUCAAGGUCCGGUGCAGUCGCAUGCGGAUUCAGUUGAUGUGCCGCAUGUGACUGCUGCAUCGGGAAUAUUGUCCUCGGCCCUCUACCUCGUGACCUUUUAGCACGACGUUCGUUCGUUCGUUCGUUCGUUCGUUCGUUCGUUGCUUGCCGCCAGACCUCAGAUCAGGCAAGGCUACCCGCUGAAUUUAAGCAUAUUAAUAAGCGGAGGAAAAGAAACUAACAAGGAUUCCCCCAGUAACGGCGAGUGAAGCGGGAAGAGCUCAAAUUUGAAAUCUCCGAUGCCUGCAUCGGCGAGUUGUAGUUGCGAGAAGCACUUUCUAGGCGGAAGGGCCCUGCCUAAGUUGCUUGGAACAGCACGUCGCAGAGGGUGACAACCCCGUCUGCAGAAUUCAGUGAAUCAUCGAAUCUUUGAACGCAAAUGGCGCUCUUGGGUUCUCCCAGGAGCAUGUCUGUCUGAGUGUCUUUUUCGUUGAAUGACAUUCGCACGAUGUGGCCGUGUCAUGCACUGGCGUUUCGUGCGGCGUUGAGGUUCGCGGCCUUGCUAUUCUUAGGCCGCGUGCCUUUAAAUGGAGGAGGAAGAUGGGCUCAAGGUCCGGUGCAGUCGCAUGCGGAUUCAGUUCAUGUGCCGCAUGUGACUGCUGCACCGGGGAAUAUUGUCCUCGGCCCUCUACCUCGUGACCUUUAGCACGACGCUCGUUCGUUCGUUGCUUGCCGCCAGACCUCAGAUCAGGCAAGGCUACCCGCUGAAUUUAAGCAUAUUAAUAAGCGGAGGAAAAGAAACUAACAAGGAUUCCCCCAGUAACGGCGAGUGAAGCGGGAAGAGCUCAAAUUUGAAAUCUCCGAUGCCUGCAUCGGCGAGUUGUAGUUGCGAGAAGCACUUUCUAGGCGGAAGGGCCCUGCCUAAGUUGCUUGGAACAGCACGUCGCAGAGGGUGACAACCCCGUCU
rnacentral:sRNA from 1 species